rnacentral:rRNA from 1 species
AUUGAACGCUGGCGGCAGGCCUCACACAUGCAAGUCGAGCGGAGCGGCGGACGGGUGAGUAAUGCCUAGGAAUCCGCCUGGUAGUGGGGGAUAACGUCCGGAAACGGGCGCUAAUACCGCAUACUAUCAGAUGAGCCUAGGUCGGAUUAGCUAGUUGGUGGGGUAAAGGCCGAACAAGGCGACGAUACGUAACUGGUGUGAGAGGAUGAUCAGUCACACUGGAACUGAGACACGGGCCAGACUCUUAUGGGAGGCAGCAGUGGGUAAUAUUGGACAAUGGGCGAAAGUCUGAUCCAGCCAUGCCUCGUGUGUGAAGAAGUUCUUCUGAUUGUAAAGCACUUGAAUUUGGGAGGCGUUACCAACAGAAUAAGCACCGGCUAACUUCGUGCCAGAAGCCGCGGUAAUAC